rnacentral:rRNA from 1 species
GCGGCGUGCUUAACACAUGCAAGUCGAACGGAAAGGCCCUGCUUUUGUGGGGUGCUCGAGUGGCGAACGGGUGAGUAACACGUGAGUAACCUGCCCUUGACUUUGGGAUAACUUCAGGAAACUGGGGCUAAUACCGGAUAGGAGCUCCUGCUGCAUGGUGGGGGUUGGAAAGUUUCGGCGGUUGGGGAUGGACUCGCGGCUUAUCAGCUUGUUGGUGGGGUAGUGGCUUACCAAGGCUUUGACGGGUAGCCGGCCUGAGAGGGUGACCGGCCACAUUGGGACUGAGAUACGGCCCAGACUCCUACGGGAGGCAGCAGUGGGGAAUAUUGCACAAUGGGCGGAAGCCUGAUGCAGCAACGCCGCGUGCGGGAUGACGGCCUUCGGGUUGUAAACCGCUUUCGCCUGUGACGAAGCGUGAGUGACGGUAAUGGGUAAAGAAGCACCGGCUAACUACGUGCCAGCAGCCGCGGUGAUACGUAGGGUGCGAGCGUUGUCCGGAUUUAUUGGGCGUAAAGGGCUCGUAGGUGGUUGAUCGCGUCGGAAGUGUAAUCUUGGGGCUUAACCCUGAGCGUGCUUUCGAUACGGGUUGACUUGAGGAAGGUAGGGGAGAAUGGAAUUCCUGGUGGAGCGGUGGAAUGCGCAGAUAUCAGGAGGAACACCAGUGGCGAAGGCGGUUCUCUGGGCCUUUCCUGACGCUGAGGAGCGAAAGCGUGGGGAGCGAACAGGCUUAGAUACCCUGGUAGUCCACGCUGUAAACGGUGGGUACUAGGUGUGGGGUCCAUUCCACGGGUUCCGUGCCGUAGCUAACGCUUUAAGUACCCCGCCUGGGGAGUACGGCCGCAAGGCUAAAACUCAAAGGAAUUGACGGGGCCCCGCACAAGCGGCGGAGCAUGCGGAUUAAUUCGAUGCAACGCGUAGAACCUUACCUGGGUUUGACAUGGAUCGGGAGUGCUCAGAGAUGGGUGUGCCUCUUUUGGGGUCGGUUCACAGGUGGUGCAUGCCUGUCGUCAGCUCGUGUCGUGAGAUGUUGGGUUAAGUCCCGCAACGAGCGCAACCCUUGUUCACUGUUGCCAGCACGUUAUGGUGGGGACUCAGUGGAGACCGCCGGGGUCAACUCGGAGGAAGGUGGGGAUGACGUCAAGUCCUCAUGCCCCUUAUGUCCAGGGCUUCACGCAUGCUACAAUGGCUGGUACAGAGAGUGGCGAGCCUGUGAGGGUGAGCGAAUCUCGGAAAGCCGGUCUCAGUUCGGAUUGGGGUCUGCAACUCGACCUCAUGAAGUCGGAGUCGCUAGUAAUCGCAGAUCAGCAACGCUGCGGUGAAUACGUUCCCGGGGCUUGUACACACCGCCCGUCAAGUCAUGAAAGUUGGUAACACCCGAAGCCGGUGGCCUAACCGUUGUGGGGGAGCCGUCGAAGGUGGGACUGGUGAUUAGGACUAAGUCAUAACA